GGGCAUGCGUCUAGCGGUCAGGGGGUUCGACUCCCAGCCGAAAGAUUCCGGGUUCGAACCCCAGUGUCCGCA